rnacentral:lncRNA from 1 species
UCAUAGAGGGGGCAUUAUUUGACCAUCAGAAUCAUAAAGUAAGGGGCUUAAAAUGCAAAUCUAACAGCCAUGUCUCCACCAACCAUAUCUGUUGCUGCGUUCAUCAAUGGCCCAUGUAUUGGCAGCCAAGCUCCUCGGCCCUGCCUUUAGGUGUGUGCCACCUUUACCACAACUCUGACACUUCUGGCAAAAUGUCUUAGCAUCCCCAGGCUAGGAUGUGAGCAUGCCAUCUCUGACCCCUGUUCCUUGUGUCAAGGAACAGAGGGGACCCACAUGACACCAACAUUGGCUUGGGCUCUCUCCAGUUAACAGAUGUCUGGGGAGGGGGGCAGGAGAGUAAUACAAACUCUAAAAAGUCGUCCCUGAGCUCUCCAAAGCCAGACCCCUGGUCCUGGAGUUACCACAGUUUGGAGAAGAGUUGGAGGUAUCUCAGCCCUCCUGGCACUCUACUUCACCCAUAAUAGCUGCCCCUGCCCCAGAGGAGGGGACUUUUUGGAUGAUAGAACACCAGUAGUAACUGUAAGUCAGACCCAGAGGUAAGAUGGGCAAAGCCCCUGCUGCCCUCCCAAUACCCCCAGGCAUGUGGACUUGAAUGUAUGUGUGCAUAUGUAUGCAUGCCCACACACGUGUGCAUGUGCACAGGGAGGGAGGGAGGGAGGAGAGGAGAGUUGUGAAAGGACCUGUUCCCAUGGUAACUGUCUGCGAGGCUGGCUCGAGGAGAGUUUCUCAUUAACAGUCCCAGGCAGACAGUCUAAUAAGGAGCCUGGUAAGGCCAAGUCCCCGGAGGGAGGGUGUGCAGAGGAAAUUGGGUUAUCAGGGAAGUGGUGAAGGCUCAUUUCUCUUCUGCCACUUCUCCUCUCUCACUCACCUGCUGCUUUGAUCCCCAGGGCCAGUGGGUGAGGGGUCCCUGCAAGGUGAGCCUAUAAAUAGAUGGCUUUGGUGUCUAUCUUAAGAAUCUGGAAUUCUAAAGCUCUACAGGAAACGGAGACACAGCAGACACCCCAAGCAGUCAGGCUCUCCAAAGCCCCACCUGUAGGGUAGAGCUGAGAGUGCCCUGAUCUCCCCACCAUCUCCCCAUUCCAGUGUCCCUGGGACGACCCCCACCCCACGUUGUGUUCGCGGAAACUCAAGCCUUUGCUAGCUUAGAGUCACACAGCAAAUGGUUGGUGGAAACAAAAAAGAAACCACUGGAAUCGCAGGUGUCAUGCACCAGGAAGUGAGCUAAGUGCUGCAUGUGCCUCAUCGCACAUGGUUCUGGCAGCUAACCCUCAACAUAGGUGUUAUCCUUAGCCUGCGGGUUAGAGACAAGGAAGCGACAGAGCCGGGAUAGGACCACAGCACCUCUCUGAUGGAGAGGGAAGUCCUUCUGCAAUGCCAUUCCAGAUGCUCUGGCUGUGUCGGGGCAGGAGACCCAGGCUGCCCGGAGCAUGCCCCACACACAUGGCACCUCCCCGGUUGCUGCAGGUCCAGUGGCCCUGGCAACGUGUCCAAAAAGAGUCUGCAGAAACUGAACACACUUUCCCAGUGGCCACCGA